rnacentral:lncRNA from 1 species
AUUAACAACACAUCAGUUUGUACAAAAUAAGUUUAUACAAGAGUUUGUAUCUAUAUCAUUACUCAUAAACUUAAUAUAUAAUAUCAUCAACUAAUAUUUUAUUUUCAAAAAGCAAUGUAUCACUUCAGACUUCAGAGACUUCCCCUGAUCUUUGAAAAUCACACACACACAUUUUUCAAACUGUAACAAAAGAGAAUAAUCACGAAAAGAAAAUCAUCAUAUUAAAUCAUUAAAAAAAAACACAUUUGCAUGAGCAAUUGCAAGCGAGCAUCUUUACUUAACCAUUUUGUUCAAAAAAAAAAGAAAUGGUUAACUAGGCAGAAGGAAAAGCUCUCGAGAAGCAAACAGAGAAAGAUGAAGGGACAGAGAGAAAAUAACAACCAAUUUAUGUUCGUGAUUGAAGAAACGAAGUGACUGACUUGUUGAAAUUCAACCUGGUGAAGCAAAUUUAUGGACUCGGGCCCUGCCACUGCUCAUUUUUGUUCUCAUUUCCUUCAAAGGUGCUACGAUUCUCCGAGUGGCACUGCGGGUUUUAUACUUUUAUUACAAUCAAAACGCUGCAUUUUAGUAUAUACCAGCCGCAGGGACGAUUAGGGGCUUGCAUGCAUUCUACCUCGGCUUCGUGCACAUUUACCCGUUUCACUUACUAAUUACACCGCAAGUUUAGUCAUCAUCCGAAACGACACUGCAUAGACGGAGAAUCGAUUCAAUUUUCAGCUUCUGAUCAAACUAAGAACAGAACAGCAGAUCAAGCAUGUGUGUUUACUUUAGGGUUUGGGGAAUGGAAAUGAAGGAAUGUAAAUAAAACUCAUAUUUAUUUGGUAAACUAGGAAAUAGACCCUUGCUUCGUGCAGUUUUAAAAAACAAAAUUUAGUAUU